CAGGGCUAGUGAGCUAAGAAUAUUCCUCUGUCGCCUUUUCAAGGACAAGGGAAGCCAGGGUGGAGACUGUGCUGAGCUAAGGCUGGGGGAUGCCAGCUGCCAUAUUGUGAAGACCCUCAAGCAUCCCUGUGGAGAGGUCCCCAUGGCACAGAAAUGGACUCUCAGCCCAAAAGCCAACAAAGAACCAAGGCCUCAAGCCAGCAGCCAUGGGAAUGGGAAUGUGCCAUCUUGGAAGCCAAUCCUGCAGCCCCAGUCAAGCCUUCAGAUGACAGUAGCCCCAGCCAAUAUCUUCACUGGAUCUUACUGAGAGACUAUGUGCCAGCAUGACCCUACUAAACAACUCUCAAAUUUCUGACCCUCAGAAAUUGUGUGAGAUAAUAAUUGUUUUUUGUUUUAAUAUGCUAAGCUUUAGGUUUGUUUGUUACUCCAAAUUAGACAACUAAUUCAGAAUGCAAUAUAUACACUCAGCCAGGUCAACUCCUCUGCUUCUUGAUGCCUGGGGAGAGUGGAGAGAGUGAUGGAUCCCCAUUAUUAUUGCACCCAGGGUACACUGGUCUGGGUUUAGAAUGUCUUGUGCUUUUUCAACCUUCUGUUCCCACAUUUCUCAGUAGUAUGUAUAUUAAACUCUCUUCAGUAACCCACUUUGAGUCUGCCAUUUUUUCCUGUUAGGUUCCCACCUGAAGUGGCUGCCAUGUAACAUCUACACAAACUCCAGCAAGUGGUGGUGGUAUCACCUGUGCUGUGAAUACCUCCCAGUGCAACCAUGCCUAUCACAUUGGAUGAUGCCAUUCAGAGCUGCUAGUGUCAGCAAAGCCAGGCUCCAGUGUCACCAGGGUGGUUUGCCUGCAUCACAGGUUCUUCGCCGACAUCACCAAUGGCUGUGCUGCCCAGGCUUUGCUCUCUCCAGUGCUCCUUUGAUAUUUGCGCGCCCCCCACCUCCUCCUAGGACUCAGAAGUAAGUCAUGUGAGAUGUGCGGGAAAGGAGCCAAGAGAAGGGCAAUUAGAAUCACCCUGAAGCAAAUUUGUCUUUCCAGGAUGUCCUGCCCAGGGCUUUACUGGGGUCUCACAUGAAUAGCUCUUGGCAGUGCCCCAGUGCACUAGAAAUGCUUAUAAAUUCCUGAAUCCCAAUGUGAACAGAGUUUGGGUCAGUCUGGACCCUUGCUU
rnacentral:lncRNA from 10 species